rnacentral:rRNA from 1 species
AUUGAACGCUGGCGGCAUGCCUUACACAUGCAAGUCGAACGGCAGCACGGGAGCAAUCCUGGUGGCGAGUGGCGAACGGGUGAGUAAUAUAUCGGAACGUGCCCAGUCGUGGGGGAUAACGUAGCGAAAGCUACGCUAAUACCGCAUACGAUCUACGGAUGAAAGCGGGGGAUCGCAAGACCUCGCGCGAUUGGAGCGGCCGAUAUCAGAUUAGGUAGUUGGUGAGGUAAAGGCUCACCAAGCCGACGAUCUGUAGCUGGUCUGAGAGGACGACCAGCCACACUGGGACUGAGACACGGCCCAGACUCCUACGGGAGGCAGCAGUGGGGGAAUUUUUGGGACAAUGGGCGCAAGCCUGAUCCAGCAAUGCCGCGUGCAGGAUGAAGGCC